UUGUAAAAACGCGACGAAUAACAAUGAAGAGAAAAAAAAGAACUAGGGCCUAACCCAUUAAGCGGGCGGCCGAAUUACAUCGGGCCGACUUAUUGGAUUUCAUUUAGGAUCCCAUAUGCAUAUAUUUAUAGGACAAGUUCCAUGGACCUCUCCCUUCCACUAACCGAUGUGGGAUCCCUUAUUUAAAAAAUAAGUUGAAACGCAGCCGACUUAUUAGUUUCCUUUUCCUUUUCAUGGGUCGGGUCCAAGUGUUUGUCGGCCCAAUUCGAUAAAUUUGAAACUUGUGGAAUUCGACAACAACAGUGUUAUCAGAAAGUGUUCUUUUUUUUUUGUCCCACAUCGAAGCAUCUGCUAAAGCCCAAAGAAAAAAAGAAAGCAUUAGCUCUUGUUUUAUUCGUCUAUCAUCCGAAUUUAGACUACAACGGAAAAACCCAGCGAUCUUAGUUUCAUUAUCCGCCGGAAAAAGCAUCUGAUCCUUGAAUUUUCGGAUAUAAAAAUCUCCAAUUUCUUCACUGUAUAUGGAGUUGGCAGGAUCAUCAAGUUAUUAGUCUACAGAUUCUUGUUCAGGCUACUUGGGGACUUGGUAAGGCCACUGCGUUUACUUUACUAUUCUAAGGAAAGGUUUCUACGUUGUUCUUCUGUUGCUUUGGAUCUCUUGUUCAAUUAUUAUCUCUUGUUGAUAUGGAGAGGAUAACUUGGAACAUGUCUUUUCAAUAUAUUCAAAAUAAGCCGAGUCUUUCUUGAUUUUGCAGUUGGAAGAUCAUCCCACUUACUAUCAAAGGUUUUCUAUGAUCCCUUUCACCUUUUUUCUUGAUGCAAGAAUCUUUGUGAUGGAACAGUUGCCUAAAGAUUUGGAGAGUCCAGUGGAAGCCACAUUGCAAUAGUUGAACAAUUACAAGAUGUCCCCUAAUCUUUAAAACCGAGAUUCCUUGAUCAAUGUCCAAUUCAUGCUUUGACAUAUACGGAUAUAGUAGCGUUUCAUCGACAUAACUAAUUCCUUGUCAGAAACCAAAAGGAGAAUAUGAGAAGAGCCAUUUUGAUCUCACCUUAAAGUGGUAACCUGCAAGAUGAAUCAGAAACAGAAGGAUUGUAACCAAUUGAUAAAGAUUUUGAUCUCACCGUGAACUACUUUUUAAACGAGUUUGCAAUAGAUGGCCCAUAGUGACAUAUUAUUAGGCCCAAUGGUGAUGGCCCAAUGAAAUCAUGUAAUCAAACGCAAGCAAUAAGUAAGAAUUUAUGAAGAA